AUUGAACGCUGGCGGCAUGCCUUACACGUGCAAGUCGAACGGCAGCACGGGGGCAACCCUGGUGGCGAGUGGCGAACGGGUGAGUAAUGCAUCGGAACGUGCCCAGUAGUGGGGGACAACCAGUCGAAAGAUUGGCUAAUACCGCAUACGACCUAUGGGUGAAAGCGGGGGACCGUAAGGCCUCGCGCUAUUGGAGCGGCCGAUGUCUGAUUAGCUAGUUGGUGAGGUAAAAGCUCACCAAGGCGACGAUCAGUAGCUGGUCUGAGAGGACGACCAGCCACACUGGGACUGAGACACGGCCCAGACUCCUACGGGAGGCAGCAGUGGGGAAUUUUGGACAAUGGGCGCAAGCCUGAUCCAGCCAUGCCGCGUGCGGGAAGAAGGCCUUCGGGUUGUAAACCGCUUUUGGCAGGAACGAAACGGCGACUUCUAAUACGAGUCGUUAAUGACGGUACCUGCAGAAUAAGCACCGGCUAACUACGUGCCAGCCGCCGCCGUAAGAC
rnacentral:rRNA from 1 species